rnacentral:rRNA from 1 species
UACGUAGGGGGCAAGCGUUGUCCGGAUUUAUUGGGCGUAAAAGAGCGUGUAGGCGGCCAGAUAGGUCCGUUGUGAAAACUCGAGGCUCAACCUCGAGACGCCGAUGGAAACCAUCUGGCUAGAGUCCGGAAGAGGAGAGUGGAAUUUCCUGGUGUAGCGGUGAAAUGCGCAGAUAUCAGGAAGAACACCUAUGGCGAAGGCAGCUCUCUGGGACGGUACUGACGCUGAGACGCGAAAGCGUGGGGAGCGAACAGG